rnacentral:rRNA from 1 species
CAGCAGCCGCGGUAACACGUAGGGUGCGAGCGUUAAUCGGAAUUACUGGGCGUAAAGCGUGCGCAGGCGGUUGUGUAAGACAGGUGUGAAAUCCCCGGGCUCAACCUGGGAACUGCAUUUGUGACUGGCAAGCUAGAGUGUGGCAGAGGGGGGGUGGAAUUCCGCGUGUAGCAGUGAAAUGCGUAGAUAUGCGGAGGAACACCGAUGGCGAAGGCAGCCCCCUGGGCCAACACUGACGCUCAUGCACGAAAGCGUGGGGAGCAAACAGGAUUAGAGACCCGAGUAGUCCCUGUCUCUUAUA